GGGUUGUGAGGUUAAGCGACUAAGCGUACACGGUGGAUGCCCUGGCAGUCAGAGGCGAUGAAGGGCGUGCUAAUCUGCGAUAAGCGCCGGUAAGGUGAUAUGAACCGUUAUAACCGGCGAUACCCGAAUGGGGAAACCCAGUGUGACUCGUCACACUAUCAUUAACUGAAUCCAUAGGUUAAUGAGGCGAACCGGGGGAACUGAAACAUCUAAGUACCCCGAGGAAAAGAAAUCAACCGAGAUUCCCCCAGUAGCGGCGAGCGAACGGGGAGGAGCCCAGAGCCUGAAUCAGCAUGUGUGUUAGUGGAAGCGUCUGGAAAGGCGCGCGAUACAGGGUGACAGCCCCGUACACAAAAGCGCAUGUGCUGUGAGCUCGAUGAGUAGGGCGGGACACGUGGUAUCCUGUCUGAAUAUGGGGGGACCAUCCUCCAAGGCUAAAUACUCCUGACUGACCGAUAGUGAACCAGUACCGUGAGGGAAAGGCGAAAAGAACCCCGGCGAGGGGAGUGAAAAAGAACCUGAAACCGUGUACGUACAAGCAGUGGGAGCCCCACCACCAAAGCAUUCUCUGGUGUUGAAGGCCCUGCAAAGCAGCAUCGCGGUGGCGGAGCGUCGUUUGCGACGCCCAACACACAAAACAAGCGGUGAGUGCUUUGGGGUGGGGUGACUGCGUACCUUUUGUAUAAUGGGUCAGCGACUUAUAUUCUGUAGCAAGGUUAACCGAAUAGGGGAGCCGGAGGGAAACCGAGUCUUAAUUGGGCGUUAAGUUGCAGGGUAUAGACCCGAAACCCGGUGAUCUAGCCAUGGGCAGGUUGAAGGUUGGGUAACACUAACUGGAGGACCGAACCGACUAAUGUUGAAAAAUUAGCGGAUGACCUGUGGCUGGGGGUGAAAGGCCAAUCAAACCGGGAGAUAGCUGGUUCUCCCCGAAAGCUAUUUAGGUAGCGCCUCGUGAAUUCAUCUCCGGGGGUAGAGCACUGUUUCGGCUAGGGGGCCAUCCCGGCUUACCAACCCGAUGCAAACUGCGAAUACCGGAGAAUGUUAUCACGGGAGACACACGGCGGGUGCUAACGUCCGUCGUGAAGAGGGAAACAACCCAGACCGCCAGCUAAGGUCCCAAAGUCAUGGUUAAGUGGGAAACGAUGUGGGAAGGCCCAGACAGCCAGGAUGUUGGCUUAGAAGCAGCCAUCAUUUAAAGAAAGCGUAAUAGCUCACUGGUCGAGUCGGCCUGCGCGGAAGAUGUAACGGGGCUAAACCAUGCACCGAAGCUGCGGCAGCGACACUGUGUGUUGUUGGGUAGGGGAGCGUUCUGUAAGCCUGUGAAGGUGUGUCGUGAGGCAUGCUGGAGGUAUCAGAAGUGCGAAUGCUGACAUAAGUAACGAUAAAGCGGGUGAAAAGCCCGCUCGCCGGAAGACCAAGGGUUCCUGUCCAACGUUAAUCGGGGCAGGGUGAGUCGACCCCUAAGGCGAGGCCGAAAGGCGUAGUCGAUGGGAAACGGGUUAAUAUUCCCGUACUUGGUGUUACUGCGAAGGGGGGACGGAGAAGGCUAUGUUGGCCGGGCGACGGUUGUCCCGGUUUAAGCGUGUAGGUGUGUGUUCCAGGUAAAUCCGGUUCACUUUAACACUGAGGCGUGAUGACGAGGCACUACGGUGCUGAAGCAACAAAUGCCCUGCUUCCAGGAAAAGCCUCUAAGCAUCAGGUAACAUCAAAUCGUACCCCAAACCGACACAGGUGGUCAGGUAGAGAAUACCAAGGCGCUUGAGAGAACUCGGGUGAAGGAACUAGGCAAAAUGGUGCCGUAACUUCGGGAGAAGGCACGCUGACAUGUAGGUGAAGUGAUUUACUCAUGGAGCUGAAGUCAGUCGAAGAUACCAGCUGGCUGCAACUGUUUAUUAAAAACACAGCACUGUGCAAACACGAAAGUGGACGUAUACGGUGUGACGCCUGCCCGGUGCCGGAAGGUUAAUUGAUGGGGUCAGCGCAAGCGAAGCUCCUGAUCGAAGCCCCGGUAAACGGCGGCCGUAACUAUAACGGUCCUAAGGUAGCGAAAUUCCUUGUCGGGUAAGUUCCGACCUGCACGAAUGGCGUAAUGAUGGCCAGGCUGUCUCCACCCGAGACUCAGUGAAAUUGAACUCGCUGUGAAGAUGCAGUGUACCCGCGGCAAGACGGAAAGACCCCGUGAACCUUUACUAUAGCUUGACACUGAACAUUGAGCCUUGAUGUGUAGGAUAGGUGGGAGGCUUUGAAGUGUGGACGCCAGUCUGCAUGGAGCCGACCUUGAAAUACCACCCUUUAAUGUUUGAUGUUCUAACGUGGACCCGUAAUCCGGGUUGCGGACAGUGUCUGGUGGGUAGUUUGACUGGGGCGGUCUCCUCCUAAAGAGUAACGGAGGAGCACGAAGGUUGGCUAAUCCUGGUCGGACAUCAGGAGGUUAGUGCAAUGGCAUAAGCCAGCUUGACUGCGAGCGUGACGGCGCGAGCAGGUGCGAAAGCAGGUCAUAGUGAUCCGGUGGUUCUGAAUGGAAGGGCCAUCGCUCAACGGAUAAAAGGUACUCCGGGGAUAACAGGCUGAUACCGCCCAAGAGUUCAUAUCGACGGCGGUGUUUGGCACCUCGAUGUCGGCUCAUCACAUCCUGGGGCUGAAGUAGGUCCCAAGGGUAUGGCUGUUCGCCAUUUAAAGUGGUACGCGAGCUGGGUUUAGAACGUCGUGAGACAGUUCGGUCCCUAUCUGCCGUGGGCGCUGGAGAACUGAGGGGGGCUGCUCCUAGUACGAGAGGACCGGAGUGGACGCAUCACUGGUGUUCGGGUUGUCAUGCCAAUGGCACUGCCCGGUAGCUAAAUGCGGAAGAGAUAAGUGCUGAAAGCAUCUAAGCACGAAACUUGCCCCGAGAUGAGUUCUCCCUGAGACUUAGAGUCUCCUGAAGGAACGUUGAAGACGACGACGUUGAUAGGCCGGGUGUGUAAGCGCAGCGAUGCGUUGAGCUAACCGGUACUAAUGAACCGUGAGGCUUAACCUUACAACGCCGAAG
rnacentral:rRNA from 1 species